rnacentral:rRNA from 1 species
CUACGGGUGGCUGCAGUGAGGAAUAUUGCACAAUGGGGGAAACCCUGAUGCAGCAACGCCGCGUGGAGGAUGACGCAUUUCGGUGUGUAAACUCCUUUUAUCAGAGAAGAAAAUGACGGUAUCUGAUGAAUAAGCUCCGGCUAACUCCGUGCCAGCAGCCGCGGUAAUACGGAGGGAGCAAGCGUUAUUCGGAAUCACUGGGCGUAAAGGACGCGUAGGCGGGUUUUUAAGUCAGGUGUGAAAUCCUAUGGCUCAACCAUAGAACUGCACUUAAAACUGGGGACCUAGAGUAUGGAAGGGGAAGGUGGAAUUAGUGGUGUAGGGGUAAAAUCCGUAGAUAUCACUAGGAAUACCGAAAGCGAAGGCGACCUGCUGGGACAUUACUGACGCUGAGGCGUGAAAGCGUGGGGAGCAAACAGGAUUAGAUACCCCAGUAGUC